rnacentral:rRNA from 1 species
GGAUGCGGUCAUACCAGCACUAAAGCACCGGAUCCCAUCAGAACUCCGAAGUUAAGCGUGCUUGGGCGAGAGUAGUACUAGGAUGGGUGACCUCCUGGGAAGUCCUCGUGUUGCAUUCC